CACACGGGGAGCGAAUGAGCAAACGUUCGGAGUGGGCAACGGCUUCUUCCACAAAUUGAUUUUGGAAUAACUUCACGUUAACUCUGCUAUGUGACAAAUACUCAGAAACGCAAAGCAAAAUUUGAAAUUAGACACAAAAGGCACCAUCGUAGACCUUCUUGUACUCAGGAAGAGGGUCUCGUCUUGGCAUCUGUGUUGGUGUAACCGUCACCAUUGCCAGCCAGUUCAAGAAACGCUCAGGAAGGGGGAGGUUGCCUGGCUCACAGGUGGAAGAGGGGUUCCCAUGGCAUGAGUUAGAGACUGUCUGCUGCUGGUGUGCAUAGCUCCUCUUUCCCUCUCCUGGGCCCCUCUCACCUCUCUUCAAAGGCCUCUGUGACCAGCUCUGGGCAGGAUGUCAUGCCCCAGAUGCUCCAAGAGGUGCUGAAUGGAGUCUCGUGACGUCAGGCUGUCGAGUGUUGGUGGGCAAAUGCAUCCAUGAUACAUCCAGCCUGAGCUCCAGACUAAAGACUAAAGAGGAAAGAGACAACCAAACCUCUGAUCACCAUCGCAUCUGUCAAGAUGGAAGAAAACGGUAGAAAUGU